ACCUACGGGGCGCAGCAGUGGGGAAUAUUGCACAAUGGGGGAAACCCUGAUGCAGCGACGCCGCGUGAGUGAAGAAGUAUUUCGGUAUGUAAAGCUCUGUCAGCAGGGAAGAAAAUGACGGUACCUGACCAAGAAGCCCCGGCUAACUACGUGCCAGCAGCCGCGGUAAUACGUAGGGAGCAAGCGUUAUCCGGAUUUAUUGGGUGUAAAGGGUGCGUAGACGGAGAAGCAAGUUAGUUGUGAAAUCCCUCGGCUUAACUGAGGAACUGCAACUAAAACUACUUCCCUUGAGUACUGGAGAGGAA
rnacentral:rRNA from 1 species